GGGGAUGGGACCAUGGCUUAGGGGUAGAGCAUCUGCUUUGCAUGCAGAAGGUCCCAAGUUCAAUCCUUGGCACCGGCA